rnacentral:rRNA from 1 species
GACGAACGCUGGCGGCGUGCUUAACACAUGCAAGUCGAACGGAAAGGCCCCUUUGGGGGUACUCGAGUGGCGAACGGGUGAGUAACACGUGAGUAACCUGCCCUUGACUUCGGGAUAACUUCAGGAAACUGGGGCUAAUACCGGAUAGGAAUCCUUGCUGCAUGGUGGGGGUUGGAAAGCUUCGGCGGUUUUGGAUGGACUGGCGGCUUAUCAGCUUGUUGGUGGGGUAGUGGCUUACCAAGGCUUUGACGGGUAGCCGGCCUGAGAGGGCGACCGGCCACAUUGGGACUGAGAGACGGCCCAGACGCCGACGGGAGGCAGAAGUGGGGAAUAUUGCACAAGGGGCGGAAGCCGGAUGCAGCAACGCCGCGUGCGGGAUGACGGCCUUCGGGUUGGAAACCGCGUUCAGCAGGGGCGAAGCUUGUGGUGACGGUACCUGCAGAAGAAGCACCGGCUAACUACGUG